AAACAAUUAAACUAUCUUGCCAUAUUUCUUCUGAAAGUGGCAGAGAGGAGCUUCAGAGCCCUUAUGCUGAGUCACACUGCACAGAUAACUUUUUUCUGCACUUCCCAGAACACUGAAUUGAGACUGCACCUUCAGAGUCCUGUGAAGCCAGGAGGAGCCAGAGAUAAGGUACUAUGAAGUGAAAAAGCGACCUCUCUUCUCUCCCCGUGGGAUCUCUUU
rnacentral:lncRNA from 1 species